AGGGGUAUAGUUCAAUUUGGUAGAGCAUCGGUCUCCAAAACCGAAAGUUGAGGGUUCGAGUCCCCCUGCCCCUG
rnacentral:tRNA from 1 species